rnacentral:tRNA from 1 species
CGGUUUAGCUCAGUUGGUAGAGCAGUUGAUUUGUAAUCAUCAGGCCAGGGGUUCGAAUCCUCUAACCGG